rnacentral:lncRNA from 1 species
AAUCAAUCUCAAGGAAGCUCUUUGGGAGCCAGGAUUCCCAGCACUUAGCUGGUGGGCAAAGGGGUUCAACCCCUUCCCCACACCCCACCUUCCCUCCUCCCAGUCUUCGGGAUUGCGGAGCUCCUGCCGGGAUCCAAGAGCAGGCUCUUGGAGGUCGAAGAAGGAUAUAACCUCCAGACCUGGAAUUUAAGACGCAAGAACCAGCCAGCAAAAGUGGCAGCCGAGCAUGCGAUUGUGUCAUACACUGAAGGAGAACAUAGAGUUCUGAGUCCUCAAUAGACACAUGUCAAGUACUACCUUGGAAACUGGGAAGAAACAACUUUGGACUUGACUUUGGUUUUAGGACCUUAUCGUGUGGGCAGGGGACUGCUGAUGGCUUUUUAUUAGGAAGCUAUGCAACUUGAGGUUCUACUGAAAAGGAGAAGAGGCCACUGGAGAUGGGAAGCCACGAAAACAUGAAGAUGUAGAAGUCUCAGCUCCUUCAAUGCUAUGUCUGCCAAGAUGCUGCCACACUCCCUUCUUGAUGAUAAUGGACUGAACCUCUGAACCUGGACGAGAAACUACAGCAUUACUUCUGCAGAUUCACAAAGGAGUCCACGUUCCAAGAUGAGAGAAAUACCAGAAGCCGAUGGCUAUUCUACUUGACUGAAUGAAAAGAAAAGGAAGGCACUUCCUGUCAAUCCUGCUUUGGAUUCCUAGACAGUUUAAGAAGCACCAUUGAUCUGAUCAUUGGCACUGAGGAGGAAAUGCCCAUCCGCAGAAGACAUGCAGGGCUCAACCCAGCUUGACAUGGGCAGUGAGUGGUUUCUGAUGUAACCCUUUCUGUAAACUACCCCCUCACACACAUGUAAACCCCUGCUUCCUCCUUUAAGUAGCCACAUUGGUGGUGCCUCUGUUGUAAGGUUACAGGGGAGAAUGACUAGACAGUAGUGAGGAAAGCAUUUGGGAAGGUGAUUCGUUUCUGUUUUUCUGGUACUCUCCCAAAACAGGAGAUACUCUUGUUGCAUAGAUGCAGUCAGUGGUUUCUUGCAGUCAGUGGUUUCUUGGAUUUGGGGAGUUAAAAGUCAUGUGACACAGGCCUAUUGACACAUCGAUGUGAGGAGUUUAAGGUAAUGCUGCUGUGAUUGAGAAGAAUCGCCCCAGUAAAGCUUUAGCAUGAAGCCAAGCAGCUUAUAAUGACACAGGAUUCUCAAUGAAUGAAGUUUUAAGGGAUAAAAUCUUUACAAUGAAAUAAAAACAAUCUUAAGAAAACGAUUAGGCUCUAGUAAAAAUAAGCUGUGUUUUAAGAGUGGUUUCUAUAUUCAGCGUUAUUAUCCUUCACUUAUACUCAGAUAAAUAUGUUAUGCUCAAGCUGGCUCAUAGUCUUCAGAAAUAAGAAUGGACAUUAUACUUUGAUGUAAUAUCAACAUGUUGCAUAUACAAAGUAAACACUUUUGGUGAUAAAAAAUAUUGACUAUAAAUGUCAACAAACUUAUUUUGUCUUUCAGUUUAAAAAAAAUUAAUUGUAUUUUGUGUA